CGUCCAAUGCCAAAAGACCAAAACACCCCUCAAGUUCACAAAAAUCACAGUAUAACUGGCCCACCAAACACAGCUUGCUCAGAAGAUCAAUUAGGUGAGAAAGUAAAGACAUCACCCUGCAAAACCAGAGACUGCUGCGGACACUAUCAUUAGGUGAGAAAGUAAAGACAUCACCCUGCAAAACCAGAGACUGCUGCGGACACUAUCCACCGCCUACUCACCAAUGCAGCCAAAGCAACUACAAUUAUACAAGAGAUUGGGAAACCAAACACACGUCUGAAGUGAAUUAUACAAGAGGACCACACCGACAGAAGCGAAUUUCCAAGAAAGCUAAUUAAACAGCGAAUUACUUGAAAAGUAAAAGAAAACUUUUCAAGUCAUUUCUGAAGCUACCAACGAAAACUAAAAAGAAGAAGAAAGCUAAAAGAGAAGAAAGGUUCCAGCAAAGCCAACUAAACAGUGAAUCACUUCAAAAGCAAAAGAAAAUUUUUCAAGUCCUUUCUGAAGCUGCCAAAGAAAACUAAGAAGAAGAAGAUAGCUAAAAGAGAAGAAAGAAAACUACUGACCGCCCACCGCCCACUAACCAGCAGAAAUUGUUAACUUCCAAAAGACCAAGCAGAACCGGAGCCCGCAUGGCAAGAGACCAAGCCUUGUCUGCAUCAACGUGUCGCCAAGCUUCCCCAAUAUCAUGCAACCAAGAAUCAUAAAAAUCCAGAAAAACCAAUGCCACCCAUCAGCAAAAGACCA
rnacentral:lncRNA from 1 species